AGGUCAGCCGCAGGUCAGGAGGGCGGGUUAAGGUCCAGUCGUCCCCAGUAAAGGUAACCAUGGGUAACGUGGCGGGGUCGUCGCUAAGCCCAGACCAGAUGGGUUCUGUCCAGAGUGCGUCGGACCAGGAAGGACCACCCAGCAAGAGGCUCCGCAGGGUGGCGUGCUCCUGUCCUAACUGUAGGGACGAGAGGGGAGGACCAGUGGAGACCCGUCUAAGAAGAAGCAGCAUGUGUGUCACAUGGAGGGCUGUGGAAAGGUCUACGGUAAGACCAGUCUAUACUGUGGAAAGGUCUACGGUAAGACCAGUCUAUACUGUGGAAAGGUCGACGGUAAGACCAGUCUAUACUGUGGAAAGGGUCUACGGUAAGACCAGUCUAUACUGUGGAAAGGUCUACGGUAAGACCAGUCUAUACUGUGGAAAGGUCUACGGUAAGACCAGUC